GCCAUGCCGCGUGCAGGAUGACGGUCCUAUGGAUUGUAAACUGCUUUAGAAGAGAGAAACACUCCAACGUGUUGGAGCUUGACGGUAUCGUAAGAAUAAGGAUCGGCUAACUCCGUGCCAGCAGCCGCGGUAAUACGGAGGAUCCAAGCGUUAUCCGGAAUCAUUGGGUUUAAAGGGUCCGUAGGCGGUUUAGUAAGUCAGUGGUGAAAGCCCAUCGCUCAACGGUGGAACGGCCAUUGAUACUGCUAAACUUGAAUUAUUAGGAAGUAACUAGAAUAUGUAGUGUAGCGGUGAAAUGCUUAGAGAUUACAUGGAAUACCAAUUGCGAAGGCAGGUUACUACUAAUGGAUUGACGCUGAUGGACGAAAGCGUGGGUAGCGAACAGGAUUAGAUACCCUGGUAGUCCACGCCGUAAACGAUGGAUACUAGCUGUUGGAAGCAAUUUCAGUGGCUAAGCGAAAGUGAUAAGUAUCCCACCUGGGGAGUACGUUCGCAAGAAUGAAACUCAAAGGAAUUGACGGGGGCCCGCACAAGCGGUGGAGCAUGUGGUUUAAUUCGAUGAUACGCGAGGAACCUUACCAAGGCUUAAAUGUAGAUUGACCGGUUUGGAAACAGAUCU
rnacentral:rRNA from 1 species